GCAUGGUCAGGAUGUGGACUUACAGAAGCAGAAUGAUACCACCACCACCAAAAUAGGACUUUAUCAUCUUAAUAAACCAGAACAGACCAGACAAUGCAAAAACAUGACAAGACAAAAGUGACAAUUUGACAAGAAUUUCU